GACGAACGCUGGCGGCGUGCCUAACACAUGCAAGUCGAACGAUGAAGCCCUGCUUGCAGGGUGGAUUAGUGGCGAACGGGUGAGUAACACGUGGGUGAUCUGCCCCGCACUUCGGGAUAAGCCUGGGAAACUGGGUCUAAUACCGGAUAGGACCCCCCUUUAGUGUGGGGGGUGGAAAGAUUUAUCGGUGUGGGAUGAGCUCGCGGCCUAUCAGCUUGUUGGUGGGGUAAUGGCCUACCAAGGCGUCGACGGGUAGCCGGCCGGAGAGGGUGGACGGCCACAUUGGGACUGAGAUACGGCCCAGACUCCUACGGGAGGCAGCAGUGGGGAAUCUUGCACAAUGGGCGAAAGCCUGAUGCAGCGACGCCGCGUGAGGGAUGACGGCCUUCGGGUUGUAAACCUCUCUCGCCCACGACGAAGCCCUUUUGGGGUGACGGUAGUGGGAUAAGAAGCACCGGCUAACUACGUGCCAGCAGCCGCCGUAACAC
rnacentral:rRNA from 1 species